AAGUCGUAACAAGGUUUCCGUAGGUGAACCUGCGGAAGGAUCAUUACUGAGUGGCUGUAUUCGCGAUUCUCUUCGGAGGAGAGGCGAAGCUACCCGACCUGAUGUCAUUCUAUCCGAGGGUGCGUCCGCUUGAGAGAGCGGUUCGACGUUGGAGUGACCCGGACGAGGCGCUUGUCUCGAAAGGGGAAGCUCCGGGUCGGGCCGUGGCGCGCCUCUCGGCACAACUUUCCGCGGAAGUGGUAGGCGUUGACCUGCCCGCCGCGGGCCGUAUUUUCUACAACUCUUGAAGAAAACCUGAAGUCUGAAGAUCAAAACAAAAUGAAAAGCAAAACUUUCAACAACGGAUCUCUUGGCUCUG
rnacentral:misc_RNA from 1 species